GACGAACGCUGGCGGCGUGCUUAACACAUGCAAGUCGAACGGAAAGGCCCUGCUUUUGUUGGUUGCUCGAGUGGCGCACGGGUGAGUAACACGUGAGUAACCUGCCCUUGACUUUCGGAUAACUUCAGGAAACUGGGGCUAAUACCGGAUAUGAGCUCCUGCUGCAUGGUGGUGGUUGGAAAGUUUCGGCGGUUGGGGAUGUACUCGCGGCUUAUCAGCUUUUUUGUGGGGUAGUGGCUUACCAAGGGUUUGACGGGUAGCCGGCCUGGGAGGGUGACCGGCCACAUUGGGACUGAGAGACGGUCCAGAAUCCUACGGGAGGCAGCAGGGGGGAAGAUUGCAGAAUGGGCGGAAGCCUGAGGCAGAAACGCUGCGUGCGGGAUGACGGCCUUCGGGGUGUAAACCGAUUUCGCCUGUGACGAAGCGUGAGUGACGGUAAUGGGUAAAGAAGCACCGGCUAACUACGUG
rnacentral:rRNA from 1 species